UACGAGUGCCGUUUUACAUGGUAAGUUAAUUUUUUUUACAAUUUGUUGAGUAUGUGGAAUGAAAAAAUCAAUUUUAAACAAAAUAUGUAAUUAAUCAGAACAAUAGGACGAAAAUAAUUGAUUUGCUGCUGUUUAAUUCAAGAGUUUUUUGAAACGGUGAUUUUUGUGAAAAUAAAUGGCAAUUUUUUUUAGUUGCAAUUCCGAAUUAAUUGUGGAAAAUUGUAUUGUGUAUGAAUUUUGAAACUAUUCAUUUAUUUAAUUUAUUCAACUCUUUUUCAAAUGUAUAUUUUUACAAUUUUUAAGGUUUGAUUAUUUCUGACAAAAUUGUUUUGAAUUGAUUUUUAUUCUUGAAAAAUAAAUUUAUAUUGUC
ensembl:lincRNA linc-79 ncRNA